rnacentral:lncRNA from 1 species
CUGGCACCGGAGAUCCCGGAGGACCUGUACUUCCUGAUUAAGAAGGCGGUGGCUAUUAGGAAGCAUCUGGAGAGGAACAGGAAGGACAAGGACUCCAAAUUCAGGCUCAUUCUUGUUGAGAGCAGGAUCCACCGCCUGGCCCGCUACUACAAGCGCACCAAGAAGCUCCCACCCACCUGGAAGUAGUAAGUCAUUUGAGCUCAAUUCAAUUGUUGCUUGUUUAGUAAGUUACUUCAGCCCAUUCAGGUCUGCUGGGCUUGUCCGUGCCAUGUAUCUCUAGAAAUUUUCAGUGCUUGUUAAAUUUUUAAUUGUUGUCUUAGAUGUGAGUUACGUAUGCCAAUUGCUACUAAUUAGGAAUCGUUGUGUCUAUGUCAUCAAGUACAUAGGGUUCUUAGAUGUGCUAUGCAAUGCUUGAGCAAAUGUUUGAGAUGUUAGUCCAUUUAAGCUAGCUAGAGAUGUUUAGUGUCACUUAACUGUUGUGUGUUAAGAGGCAAAUGUGCGUUGUUGCUGUCGAGGACACUAGUACCUAUCUGCUGUCACAAUUUGACUCGAGUUGAAAUAUAACUCUGCAUUGAUUUGUAGCAAAAAUGGUGUUGUUACACUUGAACAUAAGUAAUGUGGACUAGUAAGUUUUGGAGUUAUGAAAUCACAUUUAUAUAAAUAAUUAAAUUGAGAUAAGGCUACUGACAGUUGCAGAGGUACAUUUUGGUUGUAGCUUGUGCUUAUGUUAUAAAUGUUCUGAAGUUGUGGUUAGAAGAAAUUGAAGCCUUAGAUGUCUUAUGUAUUCAGAUGUGUACUAACCUUGUUAUUUUCUCUAUUGAAGCUUUACUAAUCUUGUACUGUUGUUUAGUAUAGCACAUGCUACGAGAGAUCAUACUUUAUUUCAUGUGUUUCUCUAUUUGAAUUCCAGUUGUUGUAUGAACCUGUAUUCUUAUGCCUGAUCAUUAACAUUUUAUUGUUUUUGUG